GACCAUGUGACCUGUGGGCUUCCCUUUGUCAUCCUAUGCCUGGAGUUCAUAGUGAGGCAGGGACAGCAAAGGGAUGCUCAGUUGUCGUCUC
rnacentral:pre_miRNA from 2 species